rnacentral:rRNA from 1 species
UAAUACGUAGGGGGCAAGCGUUAUCCGGAAUCAUUGGGCGUAAAGGGUGCGUAGGCGGCCCUAUGGGUCAGAGGUUAAAGGCUACGGCUCAACCGUAGUAAGCCUUUGAAACUGUAGGGCUUGAGUGCAGGAGAGGAGAGUGGAAUUCCUAGUGUAGCGGUGAAAUGCGUAGAUAUUAGGAGGAACACCAGUGGCGAAGGCGACUCUCUGGACUGCAACUGACGCUGAGGCACGAAAGCGUGGGUAGCGAACAGGAUUAGAUACCCUGGUAGUCCACGCCGUAAACGAUGAGUGCUAGGUGUUGGGGGUCAAACCUCGGUGCCGCAGUUAACGCAUUAAGCACUCCGCCUGGGGAGUACGUUCGCAAGAAUGAAACUUAAAUGAAUUGACGG